GUUGAUCGGCUGUGCAGAGCGCCACUCAAGGGAAGGUGCUGCGCCCAUCAGAGGGCGGUCUGUGGAGGCGACUUGAGAAAUUAUCGUUCGCACCGCCUCGGAAGAUGGGUUUUGUUGUUAUCCCGCCUCGCCGUUGCCGGAAAAUAGGAAAAAGUACCUUUUUAGGCAACUACAGCACGUAGUUCAAGACUUUGAUUAUACUGUAUUCCAUGAAGUGGGAUUCAGGAGGAAAUUGCCUAUAGCACAGAGGACGACCCUCAUUGCAAUCACAGAUGGGAGGGAACAGCGAUAAGCUCCAGUUGACAGAAUCAACUGAAGCCCUCUCCUAGGCCAUCCAUUGUCAAAUAUUAUUCAAGGGUAUCAUGUUGCCUUACCCUCUACAAAGUGAGAUCCUUGCUCUGGAAAGAAUGGAAGCCACCCAGAGAAUGCCAGCCGUCUCCUGCUCAGAUGACAGCAGUCUGUUGCUGCAGAAAGGGCCUUCGUCAGCCCCAAAUCUUGCCCACAGUCAACAUUGGAGAAACAACAUUUGCAUCCAUAGCAGCAGCUUGUGCUGUGAAAAUCCAGGGUUUCAGUUUCUCCUGGCUAAGGACUGCCAGGGGAUUGCUGGCAAUCCUGAUUUGGAAUAUUUAAAGUACUAACUGAAUGCUUCAAAACUGCUUUUCAUAACAAAGUGUUGAUUUGAAAGAGGGAAGAACAUGUUUAAGUAAUCCAGUCCUCAUUUAGAAGACCUUAAUCUAACUGGGAACUCUUUGAGCCUUCCAAGAAACUGCUAUGAGCUUUGCCUGUUGAGGAAGACCUGCAAAAUAUUCACCCACCAAGUGCAGCAUUUCUAAGGACAUGCAUCCUUCAGACAAGCACUCCACUAGCUAUGAUAUGAACAAUUGUUAGUUCAAUGACACCAUUAGGUUAUGUGCAUUCAAACAUUUAUAAACAAAGCAGGAAUCAAAUCCAUCCACUGUUGCUUGCAAUCUAAAUUUGGGGAAGUGGAGAAAUAACAGCAUGUAUGGAAUUUAAUUACUUAUUUGCUUAUUUUA